UGAGGAAUAUUGGUCAAUGGGCGCAAGCCUGAACCAGCCAUCUCGCGUGCAGGAAGACGGCCCUAUGGGUUGUAAACUGCUUUUCCAGGGGGAGAAUUUUUCUGUCGUGACAGGAAUUGACGGUACCCUGGGAAUAAGCAUCGGCUAACUCCGUGCCAGCAGCCGCGGUAAUACGGAGGAUGCGAGCGUUAUCCGGAUUUAUUGGGUUUAAAGGGUGCGUAGGCGGAUUGAUAAGUCAGUGGUGAGGACCUGCAGCUUAACUGUAGACUUGCCGUUGAUACUGUCAGUCUUGAGUGUGGUCAAGGUAGGCGGAAUGUGUAAUGUAGCGGUGAAAUGCUUAGAUAUUACACAGAACACCGAUUGCGAAGGCAGCUUACUGGGCCAUUACUGACGCUGAUGCACGAAAGCGUGGGGAUCGAACAG
rnacentral:rRNA from 1 species